rnacentral:rRNA from 1 species
AUGCAAGUCGAGCGGAGAUGAGGUGCUUGCACCUUAUCUUAGCGGCGGACGGGUGAGUAAUGCUUAGGAAUCUGCCUAUUAGUGGGGGACAACAUUCCGAAAGGAAUGCUAAUACCGCAUACGCCCUACGGGGGAAAGCAGGGGAUCUUCGGACCUUGCGCUAAUAGAUGAGCCUAAGUCGGAUUAGCUAGUUGGUGGGGUAAAGGCCUACCAAGGCGACGAUCUGUAGCGGGUCUGAGAGGAUGAUCCGCCACACUGGGACUGAGACACGGCCCAGACUCCUACGGGAGGCAGCAGUGGGGAAUAUUGGACAAUGGGCGGAAGCCUGAUCCAGCCAUGCCGCGUGUGUGAAGAAGGCCUUUUGGUUGUAAAGCACUUUAAGCGAGGAGGAGGCUACUUAGAUUAAUACUCUAGGAUAGUGGACGUUACUCGCAGAAUAAGCACCGGCUAACUCUGUGCCAGCAGCCGCGGUAAUACAGAGGGUGCGAGCGUUAAUCGGAUUUACUGGGCGUAAAGCGUGCGUAGGCGGCUGAUUAAGUCGGAUGUGAAAUCCCUGAGCUUAACUUAGGAAUUGCAUUCGAUACUGGUCAGCUAGAGUAUGGGAGAGGAUGGUAGAAUUCCAGGUGUAGC